rnacentral:lncRNA from 1 species
CUCCUGCCCCCCAACACACACAGCACAGCACACACAGCACUCACAGCACACACAGCACUCACAGCACACACAGCACAGCACACACAGCACUCACAGCACACACAGCACAGCACAGCACUCACAGCACAGCACUCACAGCACAGCACAGCACAGCACACACAGCACAGCACACACAGCACUCACAGCACACACAGCACUCACAGCACAGCACACACAGCACAGCACACACAGCACACACAGCACAGCACAGCACACACAGCACACACAGCACACACAGCACUCACAGCACAGCACACACAGCACAGCACAGCACAGCACAGCACAGCACAGCACAGCACACAGCACAGCACUCACAGCACACACAGCACAGCACAGCACAGCACAGCACACACAGCACAGCACUCACAGCACACACAGCACAGCACAGCACAGCACAGCACACACAGCACAGCACUCACAGCACAGCACACACAGCACUCACAGCACAGCACAGCACAGCACAGCACACACAGCACUCACAGCACAGCACAGCACAGCACAGCACAGCACACACAGCACAGCACAGCACUCACAGCACACACAGCACAGCACACACAGCACUCACAGCACACACAGCACAGCACAGCACUCACAGCACAGCACUCACAGCACAGCACACACAGCACACACACACAGCACAGCACAGCACAGCACAGCACAGCACAGCACACACAGCACUCACAGCACACACAGCACUCACAGCACACACAGCACAGCACAGCACACACAGCACAGCACACACAGCACUCACAGCACACACAGCACAGCACAGCACAGCACAGCACAGCACAGCACAGCACAGCACAGCACAGCACAGCACUCACAGCACAGAACUCACAGCACGGCACAGCACACCCAGCACAGCACAGCACAGCACAGCACUCACAGCACAGCACAGCAGAGCACAGCACAGCACACACAGCACAGCACAGCACAGCACAGCACAGCACAGCACUGGGUGUUGAAGGCUG